GGGUUGGAGCUAGGGUUAGGGUUAGGGUUAGGGUUGGAGUUAGGGUUAGUGUUGGAGCUAGGGUUAGGGUUGGGCUUGGAGCUAGGAUUUUUCUGAGUGCACUGAACCAACUCCCGAGUCUCUAGGACAUUCCUAAAAAAAUUUGAUUUUUUCCCAUAGGAAUGCAUGGGUUAGGGUUAUGGUUAGGGUUAGGGUUGGAGCUAGGGUUAGGGUUAGGGUUAGGGUUGGAGUUAGGGUUAGUGUUGGAGCUAGGGUUAGGGUUGGGCUUGGAGCUAGGACUUUUCUGAGUGCAAUGAACCAACUCCCGAGUCUCUAGGACGUUCCCUAAAAAAAUUGAUUUUUUCCCAUAGGAAUGCAUGGGUUAGGGUUAGGGUUAGGGUUGGAGCUAGGGUUAGGGUUAGGGUUAGGGUUGGAGUUAGGGUUAGUGUUGGAGCUAGGGUUAGGGUUGGGCUUGGAGCUAGGAUUUUUCUGAGUGCACUGAACCAACUCCCGAGUCUCUAGGACAUUCCUAAAAAAAUUUGAUUUUUUCCCAUAGGAAUGCAUGGGUUAGGGUUAUGGUUAGGGUUAGGGUUGGAGCUAGGGUUAGGGUUAGGGUUAGGGUUGGAGUUAGGGUUAGUGUUGGAGCUAGGGUUAGGGUUGGGCUUGGAGCUAGGAUUUUUCUGAGUGCACUGAACCAACUCCCGAGUCUCUAGGACAUUCCUAAAAAAAUUUGAUUUUUUUCCCAUAGGAAUGCAUGGGUUAGGGUAAUGGUUAGGGUUAGGGUUGGAGCUAGGGUUAGGGUUAGGGUUAGGGUUGGAGUUAGGGUUAGUGUUGGAGCUAGGGUUAGGGUUGGGCUUGGAGCUAGGAUUUUUCUGAGUGCACUGAACCAACUCCCGAGUCUCUAGGACAUUCCUAAAAAAUUUUGAUUUUUUCCCAUAGGAAUGCAUGGGUUAGGGUUAGGGUUAGGGUUGGAGCUAGGGUUAGGGUUAGGGUUAGGUUUGGAGUUAGGGUUAGUGUUGGAGCUAGGGUUAGGGUUGGGCUUAGGGUUAGGGUUAGGGUUGGAGUUAGGGUUAGUGUUGGAGCUAGGGUUAGGGUUGGGCUUGGAGCUAGGAUUUUUCUGAGUGCACUGAACCAACUCCCGAGUCUCUAGGACAUUCCUAAAAAAAUUUGAUUUUUUCCCAUAGGAAUGCAUGGGUUAGGGUUAGGGUUAGGGUUGGAGCUAGGGUUAGGGUUAGGGUUAGGGUUGGAGUUAGGGUUAGUGUUGGAGCUAGGGUUAGGGUUGGGCUUGGAGCUAGGAUUUUUCUGAGUGCACUGAACCAACUCCCGAGUCUC